rnacentral:lncRNA from 1 species
CCUACUUGAUGAGUCCUACCUCUGUAUUUGUUGUUGUUAUAGGUUCCCAAUUGAACCCAUUGCUAACACACUACAUCCGCCGCUGAUUACUUGAUGUAGGACUCAUAGAAAUGAAAUCUGCAGGCAAGCAAUAAACAGUCAUGUAUUUGUAAGAUAGAUAAAGCUGUAAUGAUCAAAAUUAAGAAACCUCGUUCAACCACCAGCGUUCAAGAAUUUGCUUUCCACCUAUGAAACCCUUUACCUCCAGAACACAAAAAAGAAAAAGAAAAUCUUCUGUCUCCAACUAUACACAUAACACUAUAACUACAACAACAACAUAUCCAAUAUAAUCCCACUUAGUCGGGUCUGGGGAAGGUAGUAUGUACGCAAACCUUACCCCUACCUUUGUGGAGGUAGAACUAUACACACAACACUAUAUGAUGAAUUAUAUAAGGUAAAUAGAAGCUUCCAAGACUAUUAGAAAAUCAAGAGUAAAUUGAAGUAGACCACAAUAUCAAUUGUAACAAUAUGGAAAUGAAAUUGUAACAAUAUGGAAACAAAAUUGAAGUAACAAUAUGUUACUAGCUCGGAGAACAAGCACUGUGUCCAAAUUAUAUGGCACACACCCCCAUUAGGCCACUACAAGCUCAAUACAGAUGGAUCCUUCACAAGUGCAACGCAGGGUGGAGGCAUCGGGGGAAUUUUCAGAAACGCCAAUGGAAACUGUCUUGGCCUUUGCUAAAUGCCGAUUUGGCUACAAUCACACUUAUAUAGAGCUGCUAGCACAUCAACAAGGACUCCUGAUCGCAUGGGACAAACAACUGCUAUCUCUAGAAAUAGAAACAGAUUCUACCAAAGUCAUUCACUUACUUGAACAAGACUACCCCCACUUAUCUAAAUAUUGCUCUUGAAUGCAGGUACCAACUGAAGAAACUGGGGAAUCCUCAAAUCAGACAUUGCUUCAGGGAGAGUAACAAGGUAGCCCAUGCAUUAGCACAACAAGGAAGAAGGAGGGCUCCAUCCAACCACUCCACUAUUUUGACUCCAUCUACUACUAUCUUGAAACUUAUCCAAGAAGAUGCAGAAGGCGUAGGAACUACCAAACUAAUCUCUACUAAUGUUUGUAACAACCUAGCUACUCUAGGAAAUCUGUGUUGUAUUAUCAGUAACACUAAUGCUACUACUAGUACUGUACCUAUGGUUAAUACCACUAGCAGUAUCACUGUAAUGCAUCCUUAAGUAUCAAUAAUAGCCUCUUUUUUUACCCAAAAAGAGAUGGACACUAAAAGUAGUAUUAAAAUUGUGUGUAGCUUAUGUCGUAAAAAUUAGUUGGGCUAACCACUUUUUGAACCGGCUAAUAGAUUGUAGCCAUAUUUUAAAUUGAUGUUUUUGCCCCUAAUUAAAACACAGAGUACAAUUCCAAUAAUAGGUCCUGGAGUUCGAAGCUUUGGCAAAUGGAACGCCGGAAUAAUGUGCUAGAGUUCAAAAUCCACGAAUAAUUUCUGGUGUUUGAGUUUUCUUAGACCUUCUAAAGGUGAAACUCCAGCGGUGUGUACUGGAGUUCAGGCCCUCUAAAGGUGAAACUCUAGCAUAUGAUACUGGAGUUUUAAGCUUUUUCUUUCAAAGGGACUUUCUAAUAUUGUUGUUUUCAAUCUGUGUUCAAAACUAGAAAACCAUAGAAGCAAUGAAACGUUAGUCCAAUAAACAAAAACAGAAAAUCAUUUCGAGCCCACAAGUUGUUUGUGUGUCCUUAAGGAAUUUAGUCUCUUCACAGUUGGCCAAGAUUCUGGAUUAAUUCAUCUCAGGAUAGAAUAGAAUAUUAUUAUGUGAUAGCGGCAUUACAAAUCACACAACUUCGACGAACUCGAAAGGCGGGUCAAAUCACAUUUGAUGCUUAUUUUUUGCUUUUGCUUUGAAAAACAAUGCAGAAGUGCAGAUAAUAAUGGUAACCCUCUGUAUUUAUAGCUAAUGAAUUUGUGGCUCAAUAGGUGCAAAGGUACCUGUUCGGAGAUGUGUGUCUGUUUGGUGGAAAUUUUUAAAUUUUUGUUAAGGACCAUUUGGGAAUUAACCAACUUCUCUGAAGCCGAGCCGAGCGAUGACAACUAUGGUGCGAGGCUUGCUCUUCUCAAUUUUUCAAUAGUUAGAAGAAGUGUUUCUAUAUAUAAGCGCAACAAUUUUUCUCUUCCUAUCCAAUGAAGGAUAAAGUUCCUUUUUAAAAGGAGCCAAUCCAAAAUUUUAUUUCCCUCUAUUUCUCGUUCAAACCUUUAUUCAUAAAACCCAACAAUUGCCACUAUAACACAAAUAGCUAGUUGGUCUCCACUAUAUGAUUACUCGCCAAAAUGUUUAUCCUGCUACAUGAACUGCACAACUAAUGAUAAAAGAAGAUAUCACAUAUACGUCUCUUAUUUAGUAGCUACUAUGGUGUGCUGGGCCACCAUCUUUUGAGUAAAUCUGAGAGGCUGCAUCAACUUUUGAAAUGGCAAAAUUGUUCACAGGAGGCACCUUUCUUGAAUGGUCUGUCUUCCCAUUUUUAGCUGUUGACGUAGAACCAUUUUGGUGUGAAUUAAGAGACAACCUUCUGUUGGCUGACCCAUUGGCGCUUCCAUUUGCUCGUGGACGCACCACAUUCUUUGUACCAAGUGGUCGAGCAGGGCUUGGUCUUUCUGGUUCUUUGCUUAUCUGCUCAUGGAACUUCUUCUGGUUCUUUAAAUUGAGUAGAACAUUAAAGUCCUAAAACAGCAUAUGAUGCUGGAAUUUUACCUUUCAAAGUUUCAAACUCAAGUAUACGGUGCUGGAUUUUACAUAUAGGGGAACUCCAGAAAUAAUUCCUAGAUAUUGAACUUACAAAUGUUCGAAAUCCAGUACUGGAGUUCUUUCGUAUUUUAGAUAGGGGUAUUUUUGUCCAUACAUAUACCAUUACAUUAAUAAGUGGCUACUUUGCCUUUACAAUUUAAAAUAUGGCUAAAUUCUAAUAGCGACCAAAAAAGUGACUAUUUACCAACAUCAUCCGCUUACGUCGACUCCAUGACAAACAAAAGAUCACGAACUGCGCCUUUACCUUGUGAAACUAUACUUAGUUUGACUUACAUGUCUUCUUAACAAUUGAAAAUGCAAGUAGUGUCACCUUAAUUUUGAAAAAGUUGUAGUGAAUAUUAUUGCACUAUGAAACAUGAAUAUAUCUAUCAAAAAAGUCUAUCAGUUACAUCAAACCAAUCAGUACAAAAUAUAUAUUUUUCUUACACAUACAUAUUAUCUAACUUUACUUAAUUGAGGUGUAUUUAUGACAUUAAUUUUUAAUUGCUAAGAUUAAAUAACUUAAUUUGAUAUAAACAACUAGUGCGGAUAUAACUAUUGACCUUUUAGAGAUUGAGAAUGUACACAAGUGACGAGUGUGAACAUAUUUAUGACAAAAUCUAUCAUCAAAGGAAAUAAAUUAUCUUAAUAAAAGGUGACAGAUGUGAACAUAUAUAUGUUAUAAAAUCUGGGAGUGCAGUCAAACAAGUAAGAUUAAUAAAAGGUGUGACAUAUUAAUAAUAAGGUAUGAAUAUGUGGUAAGUAGAUCUUAACAUCCCUAUAAAGUUGAAGCUCCUUCCCCAUUUGAGUAACAUCACAAACAGCCUAAAAUGGAAAAAAUCAUAAUCCUUUUUUAUCUUGGUUUUCUAUUUCUUACUCAAUCUAUGGUUGUAUAUCCUCCUUGUCUUAAUUGCGGUUGUACUGGCAAUAGUUGCAAACAACCGGGAGAUACAAUUCCAUAUGAGUGGCCCGAGUUGAUCGGCGUUGAGAUCUUAAAAGCCAAGGCCAUAGUUGAACGUACCAAUCCUUUUGUUACGGUGUCCCGCUAGCGGAUCGUCAUUGUUUUCGUACCACUGACAUUUGUUGCAAUCUUGUAUGGCUUUGCCCCGAUGCGCAUGGCCUUAUUAGAGAAAAGCCAUAUGUUGGAUGAUAAAGCUCGUUGAGGGCUACUAAAUUGGAACCUAAAUUGUCACCAUCAAUUCUUGUUUAAGCUAUAAGCAACAUGAAAUGUGACUUUUCACUCUUUUAAUUAUGUGAAAGUUUAUCUUAUAAUAUAAUUAAGUUCCUUGGUCAUUUUAUUUAUCGCUCUUAAAAACAGCUAGUUUUAUUUGAAAACGAUCUUGAUUUGGUUGUAUAAUUCAUUUUUUAAACUCUAUUAAUAAUUAUUUACAAACACAAUGUUGAAGAACGCACUAAGAACUUUUAUUUUAUUGGCUACUGCUAAAAAGUAAAAAGUGACAAAUAGCAGUCAAAGAAUUGACCGGGAACGCAGGGACAUGGAGUAGAGACAAUAGUUUAAUAUUAGGAGUACAAACAACAGUACCUUUCCAGGUGUUAAAGAACCAUUAGUUAUAUUAACAUUAUCGCCUUUGAGACACGGAGAAUAGUUUUGAAUGUCUUUAGAAGAACCUGUCAUGUGUCUAUUUUGUACCAGAAUCAACAAUUCAAGAACUAAGGGUUAAGUAGCAAAAGCAGUACCCGAUUGCACAUAAUUAGAUGUGGCGAUAUUAGCGGAGUCAAGUUUUGCUAGGAGGUGACGGAGAAAGUGAAUUUUAUCCGAAGACAAUAUUUCUCCGGGAACCGUCUCCUUGAAUGUCUCCUUAUUUUCUGCCUAAUCAGAAUGAAAUCUAGAGAAAACUACUCAAAAAUAAUCUACGUCGCCGGAAACUAAAUCUGUCUCGACGGAACCUUAACUUCGGUAAACAGAAAAAUUAAAACUGGUAGGGUUAGGCUCGGAAUCCAGCGACUCUAACAGAAAGAAAAUUCCCAGAAAAACUAACUAGAAGGAGUUUGUGUUUCGGACAACCACCAAGAGAGAGAAAACUCGACCUCUUUGAUAAAAACAAAACUCUAGUGCUGCAAUGGAGAUAACUCACCUCAAAAGGCAGUAAUGACUCUGAUACCAAGUAGAUUUUGAGAAAAAUAAAAGGUUUCUUGUAUUUCUGUGUAUUUCUCACAUCCCUAAGCAGAGGUAGUUAUACGCUACAUCCUAUGACUAUUUUAGGAAGGAAAAUAAAUUACAAUCAAUUGCAAUUAAUCAAAAUAAAAUUAAAUCUCAAUCAGAAUCAAAUAUUUCCUCAUAAUUAAGACAAUCAACAUAGAACAGAUGCAGUUUCCAGAAGAAGAUUACAGUAAAGAAAAAGGAGAGUAUACAUAGAGAAAACGCACCGGGAUGGAGAACGACAUGCUAAAACAUGAUCUUCGAACUCAAGUAUACAUAUGCUUUUAUGGUUUUUCCUUCAUUCCAUCCAUCUCCUGUCAACAAUAUAGAAAGAAUAUUACAAUCAAUUACCAACCACUACCGGAGUCAAUCUAACUAAAAGGUAGGUAACACACAAAAUAAACAAAAAACAAUAUUAGAAUUUGGAAUGUCAAUUUGCUCAAUUCCUCACCUACAAUUGAAUUAUGAAAUACUGUAAUUUCUAAGAGAACAUUUUCUCCACACCAUUUCCCCUCUUUAGCUUGUACAACCAUCGGAAAUUAUCCUGUUUGAUCACAAGCUAGCCCACAAGUAACAUAUAAAAUAUGCAAGAUAAAAUGAAGUUAUACGGGAUAAGGUGGAGUAGCCUCUGUGGAGGAAAAGAUGCGUGAAGUGAGGUUAAGAUGGUAUAGACAUGUGAAGAGGAGAG